rnacentral:rRNA from 1 species
UACGGGGGGGUGCGAGCGUUAAUCGGAAUAACUGGGCGUAAGGGGCACGCAGGCGGACUUUUAAGUGAGGUGUGAAAUUCCCGGGCUUGACCUGGGAAUUGCAUUUCAUACUGGGAGUCUAGAGUACUUUAGGGAGGGGUAGAAUUCCACGUGUAGCGGUGAAAUGCGUAGAGAUGUGGAGGAAUACCGAAGGCGAAGGCAGCCCCUUGGGAAUGUACUGACGCUCAUGUGCGAAAGCGUGGGGAGCAAACAGG